CCAAAUGGGGGAUCUCAGAAGUCUUAAUGAAGUAACUAUCCCUGAACACUGGGAUCAAUACUCAGCAUCCAGCUGUCAAAUCAACACCAAGCCGCCUCCUGGAGCAGAUUGUUAAGCUGAUGCGAGUCUGGGCUCUGCCUCACCACUUGUCUCAGAGACAGAGUCUUGCUCUGUCACCUAGGCUGGAGUGCAGUGGUGCCAUCACAGCUCACUGCAGCCUCGACCUCCCCGUGCUCAAGUGAUCCUCACACCUCAGCCUCCCGAGUAGCCGCGAUCACAAGUUAAACAAACACAGUUCUUUACAUCAGUGCUUCCGUCCCUGGCCACCUGGUCUCCUGUCCUCUCCAGACCCAAAACCAUGGGCUGGGCUGCAGCAAAAUGAGGGUGUACUCAGUGCACUGAGGCCCAUGUACCAUGAGAGAUGG
rnacentral:lncRNA from 1 species